rnacentral:rRNA from 1 species
UACGGAGGGUGCAAGCGUUAUCCGGAUUUAUUGGGUUUAAAGGGUCCGUAGGCGGAUUAAUAAGUCAGUGGUGAAAGCCCAUCGCUUAACGAUGGAACUGCCAUUGAUACUGUUAGUCUUGAGUGAGGUUGCAGUGGCUGGAAUGUGUAGUGUAGCGGUGAAAUGCUUAGAUAUUACGCAGAACACCAAUUGCGAAGGCAGGUCACUAAGCCUCAACUGACGCUGAUGGACGAAAGCGUGGGGGAGCGAACAGG